rnacentral:rRNA from 1 species
GAAGGUCACGGCGAGACGAGCCGUUUAUCAUAUUACUCAAUUGAUCAUUACGUUUAUCAUUACGAUAGGUGUUAAGUGGAAGUGCAGUGAUGUAUGCAGCUGAGGCAUCCUAACAGACCGUUAGACUUGAAC